rnacentral:lncRNA from 1 species
UACAAAUGUAACCUAGGUGUAAGCGAGUUUGCGCGAGAGCAAUCCCAUGAUAGGUGACCUACUAGGAAGUUAUCGUGUGAGUUUCCAGAAACAAAACCGUGAGGGCCUGGUCGGAGCUCAAAACGGACAAUAUCGUGUUACGGCGGAGUCGAACCCGGGAUAUGAUGAGGGCCCAGGUCCGGGCCGGGAUGUGACACUAGGAGUUUGGAUAAUUUUGUAUAGUUAAUACAUGAAAGAAAUUUUGGAAUUUGGUUGCAAUCACAUUGUUGACAAAAUUAAUUUCGAUGCCAAUAAGCGUUUUGGGUUCUUUUUGUCCUGGUUUCCCCUUUUGCCCACCCACGCUUUCGGGAAAGUUGAUGUCUUUUUCUCAUAGGCAGACUAAACCGAGGGCAUCGUUGUCACUUGACAUGGCAUGGUAUGUGGCAUCACCAUCCAUUCAAGAUGUAUAUGUAGCAUGACAUGACAUUGUCCUUAUCAAAAUAUUUACAGGGUCAUGACUCAUGAUGGACCACACACGCACCUUACACGACCUUCUAAUGCAAGCUCGUGUCUCCUCAAUGUACACCUGCAAAGAGUGGUAUGCAAUUAAAAGUGUUUUUUUUUAUGCCCUAAAAGUAUUACUUCCUACUGUUGCUUUCUAUUUUAUUUAAUUACCGAAAGCAAAUUUAUUAGUGGCAAAGAGCAGUUUCUUCACUUGCAUGUAAUUUAAUAUUUUAGUAGAUAAAGUGUUGAAUUUUU